AUGGUUCCUCUAUUUUAAGAUGAUAUGUAAACACUGGAAUGAUGGUUAAAAAUAUAUAUGUGGAAGAAUAAGACUGUUUUUUAUAAAGAAGCCCGAAGACUGAUUAAAUUGCAUUCAAAUAUUUGCAAAUUUAUUUUACAGAUAGUGCUAAAUCUCUGUUCUCAGUUCCCAGAAACAAGAUUAGACUAUUUUUCUUCCUGUUUUGAAAAAAUUGGAUUGCUCUAAAAAGAAGGCAAGCCUACUGUACUUGAUUCUGGGCAACUUGAGAAAAUGCUGCAGGAAAGUGGUGCUCUCCAUUAUUCAAUCCUUUCACCAGCUUCCAGUGUGAAUCUUCUGUGAGAAAUGGCUCCCAGCCGCAGAAACCAGACUCAAAGUCACAGAUAGCUGCUGAAGGCACCAUCCUAAUUUCCUCAACAAGGCAAUGGUGUGAAAUGGCAAUGAGAUCGAUGAGUGUGAAAAUGGAAAGUACCAUAUGACUGAUGCAUCCCACACCCUUACCCAGACUCUUCAUAAUUGAGCUAGUCGCUCAACCGCAAAGACAUAAAGAAAGAAGCUCUCAAGAUAAAAGCCACUUUUGAUUGUAUAAAUGUUGAAAUUUGGCUUUAGGACAAAAGUUCAAACCAUUUCUUUCAUUACCUAGAUGUUUUAUUGGUUAAAAAAUGUCAAUCAUUGUGCUUUUUACAGAAUGCUGAACACCACCAUCCUUUAAAAAAUGAAAAUUAGCUUUCAAAAUCCGUCACCAUAAAGAUGUGUGAAAGCAACAUGGUGACAUGGUGCAACCACCUCUGUACAAACCUUGGUGAAUUGCUUGGCUGUUUUUACUAAUGUGUUCCUGUACACGUAAAAGAAUAUUUUUUAAAGCUAAAAAUUCAAGAACUUCACUGUACUGUAAAAUAUAAAUCAAAUUCCGGUAACUAAAUUGAAGUUCUUCCAUUAAUAUCUCCCCUGUGUAAUUCAAAAACUUUAAAGCGAACUUAUAAAUAUCUGAAGAAAGCCAGGAGAGUCAAAUGCAUUCUGGCAAUUAUUAAAUGUCUUAUCAUACUAUAUGUGUUAAAUGUAAACAUUUGCAAAAUCUAAAAAAAUCUAUUCAUGUUAUAA